AUUUCCACCCAAGGCCAAUAGCAACCACCAGCACAUUUCCAAUCGAAGGCAAAGCCACGGCCAGGGAAAGGGAAAAGACAUCCAAUGAGGCGGGGUUACCUAAAAAAGUUGUACCGAUACUGAGUUUCCUUCUGAACUUCGUCACCCAGCUUAUUUGCAACGAAAUCCUCUCUGUCGACCACCAGGAACUCUGUCUCCUCCAUGCAGACCACCGUGGCACUCCUUACUGUGGUGCUUAGAAGGCCCAUUUCCUGGGGGAAGCAAGGACAAGGGCAGGUGUGACUCCACACUCAGUCCUGCAUCCAUCUUCCCUGCCUCUGGCCCCCUCCCCUUCACCCUCCCACCCUUUAUUUGUAUAUGGGAAAGAGACAACAGGUCUGAACAGGCUAGAGCAGAGGGAGUGGAGAGGCCUCGGUGGAGUCUCUGGCAUCCAAGUGUCUAUGAACGGUGAAAAGGCAAACACGGGUGAGGAGAUGUGUGUAGUCCUACUCAUCGGCAUCUGACAGGGUCCCCGAGUCUCUGAAGCAGGGGCUGUUCCCCUCACUGACCUUUCAAAGCGUAUGACCUUGGCCAGGAGCAGCUGUAGAGACUCUGUGUAGCUGCGGUAGCAAUCUAGAGCCUGAAGAAUAUUGCAGAGGUCUUGGAUCUCCUGGUGGGUCCUCCAGGAUGGCUUCUUCUGUGUGAUAGAAAUGGCCCUCGGAGGGAAGUGACCCUGGGAAGACAUGGCCAGAGGACUCCAGCAGGCGACUCUCCAUAUUGUUGCUUUCACGCUCACCCAUUCUACUCACGGGAAGAGCUGACACGGACUAAGGGUUGGGUGCCAACCAUCAGAGUGAGCAUCUUACACACCCAUCUCACAACAUCUUCAUCCAGCAGGAGAAUCAUUUCCAUAUGGAUGAAGGAACUCAGAAAGCAGGAGUUUCUCUGUGUAGCCUUGGCUGUUCUGGAACUCACUCUGUAGACCAGGCUGGCCUCAAACUCAGAGAUCCGCCUGCCUCUGCCUCCCAAGUGCUGGGAUUAAAGGCGUGCACCACCACGCCCGGCAUACGCUUCACUAAUGAAGGGACAUGAAGGUCAAAUCCAGGAGAGCCACGUAAGAGGACCCACACCUCCAAGGGGUAGGGUGGAGCAGUGGAACAAGCACAGUGUUGUUAGUACUGAUUACAAAGUUCUGUUCUCCCUCUUUCCUCAGAGAAGAGCCCAAAUGGGUGAGACCAGGGUGGCGUCAGGUCUGAGAGAGUUAGACUGUGACUGACUCCUAUAAAUAGACAGGCCCCUUUAACUUUAAAGUUGGAUAUUAAAUAAGGAUUUAAUAUCCAGGAUUUGGUGGUCAGAAGAGAGGAAGGAAGUAAUGGUGCUGGAGUUGAAAGACCGCACACAUCACACGGGCCAAAAGACCCAUCCAGAUAAAGCCCUUCUCAUGUCAGAGUGGGACUGCAGCUUAAAGAGCAUCCAACAUAGAGGGCCAUGUAUACUGACAUCCCUCAGAGAGUUCAGGGCCAAACCAGAACUCACCAACAGGCCAAGGGGUUUCCCACCAUCUGGCUUUCUUCUCCUCUGGCUGGGCAUCCUGUGUCCUCUGUUUUGCUUUCUGCUGUUUUCCCAUAAGUCCAAGCCCAGAAACUCUUAGAUUGGCUCUUCUCAGUGAAACAGUGGUAACAGUUGAUAUGUCAGGGACAAGGGGCAGGAUCACUGUGAUUAGAACUAAGUGGCCACUUCAUAGUGCCCCUGGUGCUGGCAGAAUCCGAACUGAAACCAGCUAUGUCCAGUGCUUCUUCAGGCUGAAGUAGACAGAUGAGCAGAGCCACCCGGACACACACACACACACACACACACACACACACACACACACACACACACACACACACACACACCAGGAAAAGUUAGCGCUCCACAUACCUCCUGUGCAGCAAAGUCCUCGGUAACAAACGAGAUACGGCCUUGCUUCUUUUUCUGAAAGAAAGGACCCGGAGAAAGGAAAAUCAGUAAAAAUGCCCCUGGAGUUCUACAUCGGAAGCCCUUCUAUCGACCCAGGCCACUCUGCUGAGUCCACCUGUGGCGCAUCUCCCAGAGCCGUUUUGUUAUCACCUCCUCUCGAAAACCCCAGCUCUGCCCUAUGCUAGCAUCAACAACAUACUAUGGAGGCGGUGGCACGUGGUAGAGAGAAGGAAAUGGCAGCAGGGAAAGAAGAAAAAGGGGGAAAAGGAGGAGGAGAAAGAAGCGGACAGACCGGAUAGCGCCGAGGCGGGGAAAGGAGGGACCCAGAGUGGAUGGGUGAAGUCAAGCUUGGUUAAGUUUCGAUAGCAAGUCAAACACGGCCCAUCUUCGAUCUAUUGCUCUACUCCGUCAACAGAACAAAAUUGGUUUUAUCAAGUCCCAUACAACGGUCGGCUGGGCUGGCACAGUCAUGCCCACUAGAAACAGCAAGAGUCACAAAGCCAGCCCAGCUGUCUGACAAAGUUCCAGCGUAGCUGAGCCAGACGCUGCCGUCGCUGUCCUUCUGUCUAAAGCCUCUGCGUGGUGCGUUCUUGGGGACUUUCUGUAUUGGGAUUCAUUUUAUGUCUUUUCCCAAGAAAACUGUGCCUGGGUUUUUCUAGGAAAAGUCUUACACCUACUUAAGCUGCUGCUUCUAGCUUUCUCUGGCCCUGUUUGGAAGUCUUUAUGCCCUGGAGAUAAUUAGAUACAGGGAAGCACCAGUAAGCUGCGAUGGGACUCCUAAAUGAGGCCAUUACCCCAGAAAUCUUGUCUGCCCCCAAAUAAACUCAAACAGUAAAAUCAGUGCAGGGUAAACAGAAACAACUGACAAACUCUGACCAGCCAGGCAACCAGGUUACAGAUUCAAGCCCCCCCCCCUUUAUGUCCUUCUUAGGGUUCUCUGAAUAUGUAGUUUAAAGAUAGGGGGUCAUACAGGGUACAGCCCCAGGAGGAAUAGAAUUCAGGAAACCAAAUCGAUUCUCUAAAAUAAACUUUCUCGACUUUAUAGCAGAGAGGAUGAAACAACAGGGUAAAGUAUUGAGAUUUGCUAUUCAUGAAAAGGCCUGUCCAGAUAUUCACUGUUUGUCUGAGGUACUUUAAAACUGCAAAUUCUGCCAGCCCUAAAAGCCAGGCUGUUCAUAUAAUAACUGUGUUUGCUUUGGAGGGGAUAUUCUUUAGAUUCUUUAAAUUGGAAUUAUAGGGCUGAUGAUAAAAAUAAAAUCUGUUCUGUUUGUAUUUUC
rnacentral:lncRNA from 1 species